AUACACAAAAAGAAGUGACAAAAAAAUACAGAAAAAGAAGAAAACAACCCUAAUCCUCCAACAAUGGGUAAACGGAAUUGAAUUCGUCAGAAUGGGUGAACCAAAUUCGUCUCAACAACCGUAAUCCUCCGAAUUCGUCCCCGUCGAAGAACAAUCCGCUGUGGAAGAAGAAAACCCUUCCAUCAACCCUAAUCCGUGAAGAACAACCUCAAUCACUCCGCCGUUAUUAUCCAUCGUUCUCGUGGUUACAAGAUUAUUUGAAUCCAUUUCAUGCAUAUGAUGAAGGGAAUCUUACAUGGCUGGUAAGUGAUCAUUCUGAAGCUUGCAAUACGUAGUAAUCAGUACUAUAAUGGCUAAUUACCUGCACACAAAUGUUGAAUCAGUGUUAGAUAUGUAUAAUGUAAGUAUCAAGGAGGCUGAUAUUCAUUAUAGUUUAUUUUGAAGAUUUUGAUGCUGAAAGAAGGUUAUCACAUGCAUUCAAAUUAAUAGUUAAAGUGUAGAUUUUAAUAAAUUUUGUGCUACUGUUUAGAGUACCUUUGUUCAUGUAUGAUUCAAAAGAAGAGAAGGUUUAUUUGAAGAGUUUUAUAAUUGUUCUGUGAAGUGGUAUUCAGUUAUGUGACUGUUCUGUUAUGUUUUGCUAGUUUGUGACUGUUAUUCAGUUCUAUUUCAAAAUGAUUAUGGUGUCUUGAAGGUCUUAGAAAGCUUAGUCUUCAUAAUAAUCAAAUUAGUGGUUCAAUCCCUUCAUCAUUAGGACUUUUAAUCAAUCUUAGAGGAGUUCAACUCUUCAAUAAUAGGUUAAAAGGUUCAAUCCCUCCUUCAUUAAGUUAUUGAUAUUUUAUGUAGAAAUUUUUAAAAUUACUUACUUACGGAUUAGAUUACAAGAAUGUAUAUACAUAUAUACACUAAUAAUGGGUUUAGGGUCCAAUAAUUGGAACUCUAACACUCCCCUCAAGCUGGAAUAUAUAUAGAAACAGAGAUGCAUCCUUGAGCUUCAGAAACUGUGUUUACUCUUUUACUGUCAUUAUUGAGAUUUAUCAGUCUAGUUUUUUAUGAGAUAAGAAGUAACAAGAGUAAGGUACUGUUUAAACAUAAUGAAUUUGAUAAACCUAGUUUUGAUCUCAGUCUGAUGAUAUAGAAUAUUUACCUUCUUUUGAUCAUUGUUUAUUAUUUACUAAAAUGAAUGAUAUGUUAUAAAGAAUCCACAUAAUUUUUUGAAACUAUGUCAUGUUGCAAGAAAUUAGGAUUUUGAUGUUUUGAAGUUUUGAUUAUAUGAAUGUGAAUGAGUUAGAAAAGAGAAGUAUAACAUGUUUCAUACUUUCAUCUGUUAAUACUUAAUACUAGCCUGUGUCAUUUAAUACAAAGAUCAAACUUAUGGAUAUUAUGAGGCUAUACAAACUUACUAGAUAGGAAGAAGAAUAAGAUAGUAUUUUGACAAAUUCUGCUGACAACGUUCUAACAAUCUUGAUGUGAAAUCUUCUUCCGUCAGGUUCUCUUACUUUUAUCGUGCCUCAAUGGAUUAUAUAGUAUAAUGUGGGAAGCAGCCUGACUUACUGCAUCUUCUUCCGUCAGGCCUUGCCGUGUGUUUUGUCUUUGGAAAAGGAUGCAGUUUUUUAAUACAGAGUGUUGUUUUCUCUUCUUGAAUGGAUGGCAAUUUACUUAAGGAUGGACUUCCAUCUUAUGCCCUUUGGCUUUUCAUUUACGAUGUAGUUUAUUUAUCCUAUUGUUUUAGAUCAAUUUUUAGAGCAAGUACUGAUGCGGUUUUGAUAGGUGCUUAGGACUAUUUUGGUGGGUUAUAUAUUAGUGGGUUAUAUUUUGAUAGGUGCUUAGGACUAUUUUGAUGGGUUAUAUAUUUUGUGGGAUAUUUUGGUGGAUUAUUUAUUAGUGGAUUAUAUUUUCAUGGAUGUAGACCUUUUUUGUUGACAUUAUAUAUGGUUAUAUGGUAUAAAUAGAAGGUCCAGUAAAAAACUAUUUAAUUUAU